ACCUGAUAUAAUGGGUGCUCUUACGAACCAGAUGUUGCUAACAGCUGCCUCCCGCUGGCAUCCAAUGCCAUUUCGUGUCUACAAUAUUUUGACGUCUGGGGUUCAGAAAGCCUACAAAGCAUAAUAUCCAUGUUGCUACAUUUGGCUCCAUUAACUCAUGUAAACAGAUUGAUGAUGCAACCACAACAAAUGCACUCAAUGAAGGUGACGGGCUUUUCAAGGCAAUAGAGAUGUGGAAUGCACAACCGGAAUGGAAUGCUGGAUACUUCAAUUAUUUUCUUUUUCCCUUUGCUUAGUGCCCACUAUAGCGGAUGCAAAUGAUCUUUAAGGGUGGUUUCAACAAUAAGAAAUGAAAAUUACCAGCUAGAAGUUUUUGACCAAAGGACACGACCUUGGUUUUGCAAGCUCAAACAUAAAACCAUAGAUUGAACAGAGUCUAGCUUAGAUAGUAAUUAC
rnacentral:lncRNA from 1 species